GGAGGGUCAGAAAUUAUCACACAUCACGUGUCGAACUCGUGGGUGCGCGUGUCUGUGGGGGCGGGUCAUUUGGGCACCCUGUACCCUUCCACACAUCUGAGUAGCUCACGACUGUGAGACGCCACAGCUCGCACAUCGCUCUACUUCUCUGCUCUAUAGCCUUCGACGUUAGCCUUUCCCUUUCGUUCGUUCUGGCGUGUGAUGCCAUGGAUCCAUCGAAGCGCAUCUGUCUCAAGAACCUGCCAGAGGGGUGCACGAAGCGCGAAAUCGCCGAGCUGGUGCGCAACCGCACAGGCACACCGAUCCACAGCAUCGACCUCGGCCUCGACGCCGACGGGAAAACGCGGCGCUAUGCCCAUUUUUCCUGCGAGGGCGCAAAGCAUGUUCUGGAGGUGCUGAGCGCUGGAGUAUCGUUGCGCGAUUCCACCAUCUACGCUCAUCCUGCCAAGGCGCACUACUCGUUCCGCUACGCUGAGGCUCGCCGCAAGCGAGAGCGGGAGGAAGCGGAGGAAAAGGAGCGGCUAGAGGCGUUUUGGGCUGCCACGAGGCAGCGCUUUUUGGACCGCACAAACGGCGGCGAGCUGCCCAAGAGCAAAACGCCCAAAGACUUCUACGCGUCAAAGCGCAGGUAUGCGCGUAUCGCGGCCGAGAUCGCUCAAACGUCGCGCAACGCGCACGCCGCCGCAGGUGACGCCGCCUAUGCCGAGCACCCACGCGGCGCCGCCCACGCGACGCCGUCCUUCUCAGGCGCAGACUGUGGCGCGAAUAGCGCCCCUCGGGCUGCUUCCAAGAAUCACGCCACCUCAGGUGGUGGUGACGCCAAUGCAGCAAAGAAGUGCGCAUCGAGGCUCACUGCUGCCAAGUCUAAAGCACCUGCUGCCGCACCUCCACCGCCGCCGCCGCCGGAGCCCACGAAAGAGGAGCGAAAGCUGAGCGGCCUCCAGGCGAAGCUAGCUGCGCUUAAGGAGAAGCUGAAGAAGUGAGGCAAGGUUGAGAUCAAUGUGCGCUUGCGUUGUGGGGUGUGGUCUCGCUGCUCAUCUUGACUUGAGGCAAGUGCGUCUCCUCUACUUUUACUUUUUCCGGUUAUACACUUGAGUGAGCAUGAGGGUUCAUGGAUGUCGUGUGUGUGUGUGUGUGUACCUAACUGCGAGUAAUGAGUUAUGCGCUCACCCACGCAAUUGACCCAUGCUGCGAAAAUCAGUUGCCC
rnacentral:misc_RNA from 1 species